AAAAAAAUACUUGAACAAGGAAAUGUAACAUUCAACAUCAAUUCAACCUCCAGCUUUCCUCGUGAGUGCCUGGUUUGUUUAACCGAAUCAAUCCGCAGGCCUUUGCCUUCUCUCGUCUCGAGCUACUCGCUCACAACCAAUCACGUUAUUCUGGUCAGUUCUUAAUUGAUUUCAGCUGCGUCUCCCCCGCCUCUCCUUAUAAAGCGCCCCCACCGUGACGGUUGUUAAUCGUUUUUUUUGCGUUGGGUUGCGUGGGUUGAACAAUCCGGACAUCGUGGCCACCGACGUGGACCCCCCGCCACCGGGACCCACGCACACCGACCACCACACUGGGAAGUGUCCUCUGCUCACUGUGGAAGCAGCAUGGAAGAACUGCAGCAACUCUGAUGGAAACUACAGGACAUCCACGCUGUUGAACACGAACUAUUUCAGGCCUACUACAAACAGAGGCGGUCCCACUCGGUUAAAGAUCUCGUGGUCAAUGCGGCCGACCGCUGGACCUGGACGUCACCUUCUGCAGAUACUUCACUGCCCUCAAGAAUCCACGGAUAACUUGAAACAUGUCCGACUCCACAUGUCCGAAAAAUCCAGGAUGGAAACUUGUGGAAGGAAGAAAGGGUUCUGUUUUUGCUAAACCCAUAACCCCACUGAGCCCUUCUGUGGAAACCUGUCUGACUGACCCUACUGACUGGGGGCCUGUUGAUGAGUGUUUGGUUGGUCUGGUAGAAGGUUUGCUGCUUGUGAUCUGCAAGGUGGUCCUGGGUUAGAUGCGGUGUCUGACUUGCACACCACUCUCCCAAUUCUAUUCUUCUCUUUACUACUUUUCUACUUUCAAUACACGUGCUGCUGCUGCUGUUGACCGCUGGUGGUGCAAUGUGGUUUUUAUUCGCGUAUGUUCUGUGGACUUUGCAUUUGUAUUUUAAUGAACAUGUUUACUGCCUGUUAGACCUCGGAUUGGCAAACCUAAACUCCUUCACUGGCAAAAUGUAGAUGCAUAUUAAAUGCCAAAAUUAACAUUUCAAUAUUCGUUUUGCGUAUUUUACCAAUAGCUUCGGAACUAGACGAACCUCAUAUAUAAAUUGCUCUUCAAAGAUGCGGUCAGGCGCCCCUCCUUUAUAUAACGUUCUCUGCCCGGUACGAAAUAGACCGACCAAUAACAACCCUUUAGGCUAUCUAAUGUGAGGUUGGAUAUACGCAACAUGUAGAGGUGUUUCAACAACAAAGAUGGAAGUUAGUGAACUAAAGACUGUAUAUGCUCACUAAAAGAACGAACGACUACUACUCUUAAAGAUUUUGAGGAAUAUGUAUUUCUGCAUCACCCGUUCCAAUGCUAUGAUUAGUCGAGGCCUAUCCAAUAGCAUAGGAUCGACCCAUUUUAGAUCGCGCCCUUUAGACACGCCUUGGAAAUUGAACAACGCACUUCAACGCAGAGGAUCCAGAAGGAUUUCACAACGAGUCCAUUGGAAGAUAUCGAGGAACAUGAACAUCACCAAUGAAGGAGAGUAACGUUUCCACUUGCUAUAGGAAUUGAAGCACUAAAUAGUUAAUAAUAAUAAUAAUAAUAUAAAAUGUGGUCACCAUUUAUUGACUUUUUGGGUAAGACUUGCUUUACUAAUAUAACCACGUUAAAACCGCAUUCAUUUACUUUUCUUGUGUAGUUUCACACUAUUCAUUAAAUGUGUUGUAGAAGUAAAAAAGUAAUCAAUAGAACUAUGCACAUUUGUACAACUAAUCAUUACACAGGAUUUGAACAUUUUCUAUAUUCGAGCUCAUGCUUCAUAAUAUUUCCAAGGAUUGCAGAGUACCAAAUUAUUUAUGAACAGUGGUUUGUUUUUGUUCAGGAGCGGAUUGUACUCCCAGAGGCUUCAACAGAGCGGGUCUGGAGCUGGGAGCUGCAGGUGGAUGGUGGCCAGGAGCCGUUCAGUCCUACAGGAACAGACGGUAGAGGUGAUGGAGGUGCUCGCCGUGAGGUCCGUGGCGGUCGUCUGGAGGUGCUCGCCGUGAGGGCCGUGGCGGUCGUCUGGAGGCGCCUGCUGCAGCUGGAGGGAAGGCCGGGAGCCGUACAGCCCAAGGGAUGCAGAACGAAGGACUGAGGUGGAGGCCAGCCUGGAGGUGGAGGCCAGCCUGGAGGUGGAGGCCAGCCUGGAGGUGGAGGCCAGCCUGGAGGUGGAGGCCAGCCUGGAGGUGGAGGCCAGCCUGGAGGUGGAGGCCAGCCUGGAGGUGGAGGCCAGCCUGGAGGUCCUGGAGGCGUCCAACCUGGAAGGGGCAGCAUGGAGGGCCAGAAGGGCCUGGAGGCGGCCAACCUGGAGGUCCUGGAGUCGGUGGGCCUGGAGGCGAUGGCAGCGGCCAUCCUGGAGGCGGACUACCUGGUGGUCCUGGAGGCGGAUUGUGGAGACCAUCCUGGAGGGCCUGGAGGUGGCGCCGGCCUGGAGGACCUGGAGGGGGCGAAGGGCCUGGAGGAGGUGGCCAACCUGGAGGCAACGGCGGGCCUGGAGGCGGCCAACCUGGAGGAUUGAAGGAGUCACUGGGAUGAAGAUCCCUGCUGAGGGGCUGACGACCCCCACACCCACUCAUCUUUCCGGAGAAGCGUCCUCAUGGUGCAGGCGGUCAAACCUCCACCUCUUUGAAGAGACCAAGCAGCUUGACUGACUGACUGGUUCCUUAUACUCCGGACCUCGUCCCGGAGCAGAGGACAGACCUAAGGCCUGCAGUCCAGCGGUCUAGGGACUCCAUGUGGAACCGGUUCAAUAAUGUUGACCUCUCCUUCAGGCGACUUAAAGGGAGACCAGAUGUGCGGCAGCUGGGUGUCAUGGUGCAGAGACCCAACGCUGCACUGAACUACACCAGUGUGUCCUACUCCCCAUAAACCCUGAGGAUCCCUGGCUACACCAGCACAUUAAUCCACACCCAACAUUAACACACAGUGCACACUCUAUAGAGCUUGUAAGUCCGCCCCUUGCGGUGGGACCUCGUGAGAUCGUAAGAUAUGACUGGGUUUCAAUGGAGAGAAAGUAAUUAUUUUCUCCAUUAUGUUGCACCACAUUUUGGGGGAAGAAUGUUUGAAUCAAUCUUUGUCAUUUAUUUCUGUACUCCACAUCUGUAAUCCCAGCUGUUGUAUUUUAACACUGUAGCUGGGAACCCUCUUUAUAGGGAGCGGCUAGAGGGACGAGGCUGGAAGCAAACCUGAGCCUGGAUCUUAACCUUCUUUCUAAACCUAAUGCCGCAAUUUAACCGCAAAUAAAGUGAGGCCUAAAGUAACUUGACUCUCUUACCUAAACUUGCUUGCCUAAACUCGCUUGUCUAAACUCGCUUGCAUAAAACCUAAACUCGCUUGCAUAAAACCUGAACUUGCUUGGCUAAACUCGCGUCGCUUGCCUAAUACCUGAACUUGCUUGCCUAAACUCGCUUGCCUAAUACCUGAACCCGCUUGCCUAAACCCGCUUGCCUAAACCCGCUUGCCUAAACUCGCUUGCCUAAUACCUGAACUCACUUGCAUAAAACCUAAACUCGCUUGGCUUGACUCGCUUGCCUGUACUCGCUUGCCUAAUACCUGAAGUCGCUUGCCUAAUACCUUGAAGUCGCUUGCCUAAUACCUGAACACGCUUGCCUAAAACCUAAACUCGCUUGGCUUGACUCGCUUGCCUGUACUCGCUUGGCUAAAUACGCUUGCAUAAAACCUAAACUCGCUUGGCUUGACUCGCUUGCCUGUACUCGCUUGGCUAAACUCGCUUGCCUAAUACCUGAAGUCGCCUGCCUAAACUCGCUUGCCUAAAACCUAAACUUGCUUGUCCAAACGCGUUACACAAAGUUAACCAUCCAUAAUCUUUAACCCAAACCAGACUUGUCCCUGGGUCGCUCCACUUUAAUUUAGAAGUUUCUUCUUUUACCUCAUCUGCGUUUUGAGUUUCAUUCUUUGAGGGCUUGAAGUGCUUUGGAGGAUAUUUGAACCUUUGUUUGCCGCAUCAAUAAACAUGCUUUAUCUUUACCCAUUUUGUUUAGGAUUGCAUUUCUAUGUGUAAUCCGGCCAAAGGUUCAGUGUCCUUGCAUGUAAUGUCUAUGGUCUGACGAUAAUCUGACCUCUUCAUGAAGCAGAAUGUGUGUGAAUGUUGUCCCGUGAGCUCCAGGCUCUCUGUGGGCCUGUCAAUGUCUCUUUAGCAAAAAAUUGAAAUUCAUUUUUGUACCAUUUUCCUGUGUUCCUGAGUAUUUCAGACCUGUGGUGUUUCACAUGAGACCUUAAUGGGAACUUUUAUUUUUCUGCCUGCAUACGUAAUGCCUACAGUAGGGUGAUCACUGUUGAUCCCAAUAUUGAUCAUUAACCACCUCAUUCUUUUAUGAUUUUUUUCGAUAAGGAUUACAAAUCAUGUAAUUUAUGAGCAUAUUUGCAAAUGGCUCCAAAUAUCAGAUUGUGUAAAAACUAAUGAAAUGUAACCUGCUUGAUUUCAAGAAAAUAAAACAUCCAAAUAUUAUAAACCUGUUUUGUGCUCUCUUCAUUUGGAAAUGAAACGCAGAUAUGUUUAGCUCUGAUUUGCUGCCUCCUUUUGGUGUGGUGCUGGGAUUUGUUUAAUAUACUAUUAUCAUUUCCAGGAUAAGUUAAUAACCUAGUAUAGCCUACGCGGAAAAGAAGGGAUACGAUGGCCAGGGCAGGCUGUUUCGGUGUCCUGUCAACAUAUUGUGAGC
ensembl:lncRNA